ensembl:miRNA
AUAACUAUUAAAUUGGUGCAAAAGUAAUUGCUGUUCUUGCCACUACUUUUAAUUGCAAAAACUGUAAUUACUUUUGCACCAACAUAAUA